CCCUUAGAUAUUCUGGGCCGCACGCGCGCUACACUGAUCAGUGCAACAAGCAUCCGUCCUUGGCCGACAGGCCCGGGCAAUCUUUGAACGCUGAUCGUGAUGGGGAUAGACUUUUGCAAUUUUUGGUCUUCAACGAGGAAUUCCUAGUAAACGCAAGUCAUCAACUUGCAUUGAUUACGUCCCUGCCCUUUGUACACACCGCCCGUCGCACCUACCGAUUGAAUGGUCCGGUGAAGCCUCCGGAUUGGCGUGCACCCUCGGGUGCUGCCGAGAAGUUGGCUAAACCUUACCAUUUAGAGGAAGGUGAAGUCGUAACA
rnacentral:rRNA from 1 species